CCUACUGGCGGCAGCAGUGGGGGAUAUUGGACAAUGGGGGAAACCCUGAUCCAGCGACACCGCGUGAGGGAAGAAGUAUUUCGGUAUGUAAAGCUCUGUCAGCAGGGAAGAAAGAAAUGACGGUACCUGACCAAGAAGCCGCUGCGAACUACGUGCCAGCAGCCGCGGUAAUACGUAGGGGGCAAGCGUUCUCCGUAAUUACUGGGUGUAAAGGGAGCGUAGACGGUGAUGCAAGUCUGGAGUGAAAGGCGGGGGCCUAACCCCCGGACUGCUUUGGAAACUGUGGACCUUGAGUGCAGGAGAGGUAAGCGGAAUUCCUGGUGUAGCGGUGAAAUGCGUAGAGAUUAGGAGGAACACCAGUGGCGAAGGCGGCUUACUGGACUUUAACUGACGUUGAGGCACGAAAGCGUGGGGAGCAAACAGGAUUAGAUACCCCAGUAGUC
rnacentral:rRNA from 1 species